rnacentral:tRNA from 4 species
GGAGUGGUGCCCGAGGGGUUAAAGGGGACGGACUGUAAAUCCGUUGCGUAAGCUACGUUGGUUCAAAUCCAACCCGCUCCACCA